GGGCCUGUAGUUCAGCGGUCAGAGCCCCCGGCUCAUAACCGGGUUGUCCUCGGUUCAAAUCCGAGCGGGCCCA
rnacentral:tRNA from 1 species